UUAAUAUGCUUAUGAUAUAAUAAGGCUGCUCAACUUCUCGCUAUUACAUGCACUGACCACCAGGGGGCAGACUCUCUAACCAGUAGGUUAGCUUGUUGCUGG